CUACGGAGGCAGCAGUGGGGAUCUUGCACAAUGGAGGAACUCUGAUGCAGCGAUGCCGCGUGAGUGAAGAAGGCCCUUGGGUUGUAAAGCUCUUUUGUCGGGAAAGAUAAUGACUGUACCCGAAGAAUAAGGUCCGGCUAACUUCGUGCCAGCAGCCGCGGUAA
rnacentral:rRNA from 1 species